rnacentral:lncRNA from 1 species
UAAUACAUAGGUUAAAUGAUAGAAACUUGUGGAAAUAAUUAGAAUAUAAAAGUGGGAUCGAAUUUUAUCGUAGCACGAUUUCAGUCACCAUAAUUGCCACACACCACCAUACACGGGUCCCUAAUUCACCACAUGCUGCCAUUAGAGCAUUGUAUGCCACCUCACACUCGGCUAUUGGAACCAACACAUGCCACUAAAACCACCCACGCACCAACAUGUUUUGGCUAGAAAUCAUCACAGAAUAAGUCGCGCAUGUAAAUCCGGCUUGAAAAUGUUAGAAUCGUCCUGGAGAAAGGUUUGGAUGCAUGGAACCAUGCCUAGCCAACAUCAUGGUUCUCCUUCUUCUCUGCUAGUACCGUU